UGCCUGCUCCUCCAGCCGCUGCCGUCACUGCCGUCUGUUCUGCACAAUUUUGGCUUCCUUGUAUUUAUCUUUCCCAAGAUUGAUUCGUUUCUCCCAUUGCGUAUAUAUGGAGAAGCUUUGAUCUUGCUGAAGUGCAUUGGUUAUUGGGGGGAUAAAGCUAAUUGAAGGCGGAAAAGGAGAGAAUCAUCUUAUCUCUGCAUCAGCAAAUCCAUUUAAUGCCCAAACAUGAAGCUAGAAUGCUGCGGAUUAGCAAGUUGAUUUGGGGCUAAUUAUUUGCAUACAUAGAAACAAAACCCUUUUAAUCUGCCAUUAAUAUUCAAAUUACUCCAGGCCUGGAAGUGAGGAUUUUUUUGGGGGGGGGGGUGAGAUGAGAGCACAUUGUAAAAUCAGAUUAACAUGUUCUAAAGACGAUACUGCAUGAAGUGAUUUAGAGACAAAAUUAGAUCUGACUUCAAAGGUGCAACUCUCCAAAUUGUAAACAGGGUAAAUGUCCGUACUGCACCAUAUCUACUAAAACUUGCAUGAUAAUGCCAGCUGAUCACCAAGAGAUUCAGCUUACAUGAUUCAGCGUCUUUUAAUUUAGACAUCACAUGACAAUAUUGUAGUUCAUGCAUCGGUUGUUCAUGCAGUGGUCACUUGUAUAAAUAUCAGCAAUUAUACUUGAAUGAGCAGAAAUCAACAUAUAUUUAUAAAA